GUUCUUUUACGACGGAGCCUAAGAUAUUCUUUGUCUUGUCGGUACUAGAGUCACCGAAAGAGACAUCCUAUUAUAUGCACGUUCACAAGGACAAUGGCGCCAUUGUUCUUCGCGUCUUCAAAGCAGCUACAAGAAGAAACCAAGAUGGAGGGGAGCCCAAAGCAUCUGAGAGAAUUGAUAAAUGAAAGAAACAUGCUUAAAACAUGACCGUUUUAAAGGGUGUGUAUUGAAGCCUAGAUUUUUUCCCUUGUAAGCAUGCAAACAUACCGUUGUGAAGUAAGAAUCCGGGUUCCUGGAAAUGUAUUGUGAAGUAGUCCUGGCCAAACUACUCUGGCCUUUGCAAUUUGGAGUGACUGUUGUGAAUGCAUGGUGUACAAAUUGAUUGUACAAACAGUUGUGAGACAUACCGGGUCAGAACAGUGAUGAAAUACAUCCCGAAGAUGAUGACCUGAAGAUAAAUGCAGCUUCUGAGAGAAGACCAUUGUGUUUAAGUGGUAGUCUUGUUAAUGCAGUUCUUACUCAUAGCAUGUCAUGGUACCUCUUUCUGUAGUGAAUGCUGACCAGUGAGAUGCCAGCCUGCGUGUGAAGAUCCUACAGCAGAAGUGCAUGUGAGUGGUGCUCUGUUUUGUUUUCUGCUGAGCUUACUGUCGUUGGUCUAGUCUAUGAUGAUCCUAUCCCGAACCUGAAUUCCUGUUGAAAAACCAUAAUUACGGAUCUGGCUUCUGAGAUGGACCAUUGCAAAGGACUAUUGUGUUCUUCUUUAAUGUUGGCAAUGACGUAAUGCCUGUGUUUUUGUUUUUAUAUUUUAGGGCCAGUGACACAAGAACUUGCGAGAGAUGCCAGUCCGCCUGUGAAGAUCCUGCAGCAGGAGUGCAUAGCCAGUGACACAAGACGUGCGAAUGAAAACUAGAUGUGACCAUCCAGAAAAAGCAUAGACAAAAAAAUGCAGUCUUAGUACUGGGAUGUUUGAGAUGGGGUCUAUCUACAUGUCUCUAGCUGUCCCUAUCAGGACAGCAUCUGGUGUGGCCUGCAGAGUUGAUUCCUGUACUUUUUUUUUUUUGUGGGCUGUAUGUAAAUGGAUUGUUUUGACAAUCCAUUCGACAGUGUUCUCUUCUGUGAAGGUCAUAGGUGAGCUGAUUGACAGACACAGCUGUACAGACUGAAUGCAAUCCUGACUAUAAAGCUGCAGUUCAUCAUUAUGAGCUAUUUCCUUAUUCUGGCAGUGAUUGAAAUAAAAUGGGGAGUAUUGAAAUAAAAAACAUUCAAUUGCAAA
rnacentral:lncRNA from 1 species